UUGUUUUUAUCUCAUGAGCUUUGUUUAUUUGAUGCUUAAAAAAAAUUGAUUUUAGCAGGAGUUUAUUAAUGAAGGUUAUAAUAACCUCUUACAACAAAUACUGGAGUUUUCCAAACCCCGUUGAAACUCCGUUUAUCUGGUCCCUGUUAUUGAGGUCAAUGGUUUCCAAACCCUGUUUGUCUCCUUCAACAGAUUUGUUCUUAUGUUUUCGUUCCAGAAUUGUGUUUCCUCUGCUCUCUGCUUCAGAAGCUUGCAACUACUUCGCCAGGAGAAAUAAUUUUCUCGCAAAUAAUUUUGCCUUGUUCUAAUAUUUCAGAUAUCAAGAGCUAAUAAAAGAAAGUUCGAGGAUGAUGUUCUUUGGUUUAAGAAAGAAACAGCAGAGUUGUAUGGUGUGUCACCAUUAUGCAUUGAAGACAUUACUUAUGACAUGAUGUUGGAUGAUAGUUAUUCUUUGGUGGCUAAAUGGUUUGGAGAAGUAAGAGAUAGUAAAGGAAAUCAUCUGCUUCAUUUUCUCAUUUUGCUCCGAGAACAAGCAAAGACUAAUGAAAGUUCUUGAAGUCAUUUCAGAAUAUGCUAGUACAAUGAGAAGUCAUUUUCUGGAAGUUGUUUAAAAGUUGAAAUUUGAAGGUGUUGAAGUAGCUUGUUGGAGGGAAAACAAUUCAGAGUACUUGAGAGAGUUGUUGUGAGCAUGGUUAUCAAACUCUCGAGUUAACUCAUAAACUCGAGUUUACGUUUCCAGACAUGGCUUCCGAGUUAACUCUAAACUCUUUCUGCGUAAACUAGAUAAAAUCAACUCUGAAAAUCGGUAGGAUCGUGUAGAAUCGCGAGUUUGAAGCGAUUCUGCGAGCUUAAAAGGAAAAAAAAACGUCGUAUGGGGUUUAGGAUUUCAUGAUCUGAUUGUCACUAUCUCUAGCACCCCCUAUCUUUCUCCAUGGUCAUGUCAUCGCCUCACCUCCUUAA